CUUCUCUGGAGAAGCACAAUGAGGGACGUCUACAGAGACUGAGAAAGAGUCUCACCACAUCCUGACAUGAGGAAAAAGACUUUAUUGAAGACUACAAUGAGAAAAACUAUCAGACAGCAGACGGCUGCAUUCAAGAGAAGAAGACCAUCAAACAUCCACGUCAGCUGAUGGAGGUCCAAGAGUCUCACCAAACAAACAACCUACAGAGUGAAGACCUCAAAUCUGAUUGGACGGCCUCCUAUUCAGGCACGUUUUAGGCUGUUAGAUUGUUCCAGAUAAGACAAGUACAAGAUUCUUCAGAGCCGUUCUACCACGAGCCUGACAGGAAGAACUCCAACAGCUACUGAAUGUUCCUGUGGUCCCCUCAAGGCUACAGGAGGAGCCCUACGAGGACGAGCCGGUCCACCUGAUGGAGGCCAGUCGCUGCGGUUCAAAGCCAACACCGACUACAUGGACUUCUACUGGACCACACGGAGG
ensembl:lncRNA